UGUCUUUUUGAAAAUAAUAUAAAGUCUAAUCUGCCCACUGAUUUUAUAUUAAAGGGCUGCAGUAUUUUGACUGUACAAAGGUAGCAUAAUCAUUAGUCAUUUAAUUGAUGACUUGUAUGAAAGAUUGGAUGAAAUAUAAACUGUCUCUUAAUUAUUAAUAUAAAAUUUAAUUUUUUAAUUAAAAAGUUAAAAUAAUUUAAAAAGACGAGAAGACCCUAUAGAGUUUUAUAUUUAAAUUAAUUAAGAUUAUUUAAAAUUUAAAAUUAAAAUUAAUUUAUUUAUUAUAUUGGGGUGAUAGAAAAAUAUAUAUAACUUUUUUUAUAUAAAAACAUUUAUAAGUGAUUAAAUGAUCCAAUAAUAUUGAUUAUAAGAAAAAAUUACCUUAGGGAUAACAGCGUAAUUUUUUUUUUUAGUUCAUAUAAAAAAAAGAGUUUGCGACCUCGAUGUUGGACUAAGAUAAAAUUUAAAUGUAGAAG
rnacentral:rRNA from 1 species